GUACACGCUGUGACUAGCAUAUCAAUAAGCGGAGGAAAAGAAACUAACAAGGAUUCCCCUAGUAACGGCGAGUGAAGCGGGAAGAGCUCAAAUUUGAAAUCUUAAAGGGUUUCCCUUUACGAAUUGUAGUUUAAAGAAGUGUUUUCUGUUGAGGUUUUGGUAAAAGUUCUUUGGAAUAGGACAUCAUAGAGGGUGAGAAUCCCGUAUUUGACCUUUACUUUCAACUUUGUGAUACACUUUCAAAGAGUCGGAUUGUUUGGGAAUGCAGUCCAAAAUGGGUGGUAAAUUUCAUCUAAAGCUAAAUAUUGGCGAGAGACCGAUAGCGAACAAGUACCGUGAGGGAAAGAUGAAAAGAACUUUGAAAAGAGAGUUAAACAGUACGUGAAAUUGCCAAAAGGGAAGCGUUUGACACCAGUGUUGUUUUUCUGAAAAUCAAUUAAAGAACUGUUUAUGCUAAGUUGUUUAGACUUUAUCAGCUAACUGUUUAGUUUUGAGCUUUUCUUUAAUGCACUUUUCAGUUAACAAGUCAACAUCAAUUUCUUUUGCUGUAAAAAAGCUUGAGGAAGGUGGCUUGAGAUUCGUCUUAAGUGUUUAUAGCCUCUUGCCUAUGCAGUCGGAGAGAUUGAGGUCUGCAGCGUAGAUCCUUCGGGGCUAAAUGCAUUUGUGCUAAGUUAUAGCAUUUUAUAGACAACUUGUUGACUAUGAUUUGUCUUGUAGCUUACUCGCUUAUGUUAUUUUACCUACGCUUAGGAUGUUGAUAUGCAUGACUGAUAU
rnacentral:rRNA from 1 species